UACCGAGGGUGCAAGCGUUAAUCGGAAUUACUGGGCGUAAAGCGUGCGUAGACGGUUAUGUAAGUCGGGUGUGAAAGCCUCGGGCUCAACCUGGGAAUGCCAUUCGAGACUGCAUAGCUAGGGUGCAGAAGAGGGAAGCGGAAUUUCCGGUGUAGCGGUGAAAUGCGUAGAUAUCGGAAGGAACACCAGUGGCGAAAGCGGCUUCCUGGUCCAGCACCGACGUUCAGGCACGAAAGCGUGGGGAGCAAACAGG
rnacentral:rRNA from 1 species